AUGCCUGAAGGAUGUAUAAUUGUGAUUAAUCAGUUGUUUUGGUCUCAUGCUAUUAUUGCAUUAUAUGGAUCCUUUCUUCCAGGCAUGGUUGUUUUCCUUGCUAUUUCUUGGGAGGAACGAUCUAUACACACGAGUUUGAACAACAAAUACCCUUGGAUUGGACUUUGCCCGCUUGUUCCCUCCGAGCCCUGGGGUUGGUGCUUGGCUCGGGUGCAGACUUGGAGCUUGAGGUGCUUGGCUUGGGUGCAGACUUGGAGCUUGAUCACCAAAUCACUAAUUGUGGACUACUCAUUGCAAAGAUCACUCUCAUCUUCCUAG
rnacentral:rRNA from 1 species